GGCCGCGGGAAUUCGAUUCAGGCCUAACACAUGCAAGUCGAGCGGUAGAGAGAAGCUUGCUUCUCUUGAGAGCGGCGGACGGGUGAGUAAUGCCUAGGAAUCUGCCUGGUAGUGGGGGAUAACGUUCGGAAACGGACGCUAAUACCGCAUACGUCCUACGGGAGAAAGCAGGGGACCUUCGGGCCUUGCGCUAUCAGAUGAGCCUAGGUCGGAUUAGCUAGUUGGUGAGGUAAUGGCUCACCAAGGCUACGAUCCGUAACUGGUCUGAGAGGAUGAUCAGUCACACUGGAACUGAGACACGGUCCAGACUCCUACGGGAGGCAGCAGUGGGGAAUAUUGGACAAUGGGCGAAAGCCUGAUCCAGCAAGGCCGCGUGUGUGAAGAAGGUCUUCGGAU
rnacentral:rRNA from 1 species